ACAUCCAGUAAAUGCCCCAAUACAUCAAUUGUAACUACAUUAAAAAAAUAUUCAUGGUCUUUUUGUGGUUUUCUUCUCAUGAGUGGACAGUGAGUUCUGACACAAACAAGUGAAGUUGUCGUUUUGUAGUCUUUUUAGAAACAGGCUGAUCAAAAAACUUGACCUCGAUAUUGCCAUCGCUGAAUGCCUCCCUCCUGGUGUCUUCACUCGUAGUUUCUCUCCGAGCAAAACUUGCUUUUUGUUGAAUUAAUGUGAUACCGGAGUUUCCAGCCCUCCUUAAGGGUGAAGCGUCUUUGACACAACAAAAGCAUAUUGCAGACAAGAAAUUCUUUUUGAAAUUCUCAUUCAUAAAAGCAUAUACAAUGGGAUUGCAGAUAGAGUUGAAAAAGCCAACUAAUUGUACUAUGGCAAAUAUCAUCUUGAUUGUAAC